rnacentral:rRNA from 1 species
UUGAACGCUGGCGGCAUGCCUUACACAUGCAAGUCGAACGGUAGAGGGGCAACCCUUGAGAGUGGCGAACGGGUGAGUAAUAUAUCGGAAUGUGCCCAGUCGUGGGGGAUAACGCAGCGAAAGCUGCGCUAAUACCGCAUACGAUCUAUGGAUGAAAGCGGGGGAUCGCAAGACCUCGCGCGAUUGGAGCGGCCGAUAUCAGAUUAGGUAGUUGGUGGGGUAAAAGCCCACCAAGCCGACG